rnacentral:rRNA from 1 species
ANNCAUGCAGUCGAGCGCNCCCUUCGGGGUGAGCGGCGGACGGGUUAGUAACGCGUGGGAAUAUACCCGACACUAAGGAAUAGCCUCUGGAAACGGAGAGUAAUACCUUAUACGCCCUUCGGGGGAAAGAUUUAUCGGUGACGGAUUAGCCCGCGUUAGAUUAGAUAGUUGGUGGGGUAAUGGCCUACCAAGUCUACGAUCUAUAGCUGGUUUUAGAGGAUGAUCAGCAACACUGGGACUGAGACACGGCCCAGACUCCUACGGGAGGCAGCAGUGGGGAAUCUUGGACAAUGGGCGCAAGCCUGAUCCAGCCAUGCCGCGUGAGUGAUGAAGGCCUUAGGGUCGUAAAGCUCUUUCGCCAGAGAUGAUAAUGACAGUAUCUGGUAAAGAAACCCCGGCUAACUCCGUGCCAGCAGCCGCGGUAAUACGGAGGGGGUUAGCGUUGUUCGGAAUUACUGGGCGUAAAGCGCGCGUAGGCGGAUUAGUAAGUUAGAGGUGAAAUCCCGGGGCUCAACCCCGGAACUGCCUUUAAUACUGCUAGUCUUGAGUUCGAGAGAGGUGAGUGGAAUUCCGAGUGUAGAGGUGAAAUUCGUAGAUAUUCGGAGGAACACCAGUGGCGAAGGCGGCUCACUGGCUCGAUACUGACNCUGAGUGCAAAGUGUGGGAGCAAACAGGAUAAAUACCUGGGUAUCCA